UAUGCCAGAACGCGCGGAUCUAACCGCGUCUAGGUCGGGUCAUCGGGUUGCAGCCCAAAACGGCGCAGUUUAAGAGCCACUGAAUCAGGCAAUACAGCGUCGUUUCUCAUCUCCCCACUUAAACCAAGAUAAAAAAAAACUAAAAAAAUCUCCUCUCGUUCUUGAGUCGCGCCGCUCCAGCACCCUGUUCAUCCAACCCAG
rnacentral:lncRNA from 1 species